GGCCUCGUGGCGCAACGGACAACGCGUCUGACUACGAAUCAGGAGAUUGCAGGUUCGAAUCCUGCCGAGGGCG